UACGAAGGGGGCUAGCGUUGUUCGGAAUUACUGGGCGUAAAGCGCACGUAGGCGGAUAUUUAAGUCAGGGGUGAAAUCCCGGGGCUCAACCCCGGAACUGCCUUUGAUACUAGGUAUCUUGAGUGUGGUAGAGGUGAGUGGAAUUGCGAGUGUAGAGGUGAAAUUCGUAGAUAUUCGCAGGAACACCAGUGGCGAAGGCGGCUCACUGGACCACAACUGACGCUGAGGUGCGAAAGCGUGGGGAGCAAACAGG
rnacentral:rRNA from 1 species